UUCAAACACAGCAUUUUAAACAGAGGCAGCAUAAAAUAAAUGACCAAGUGGGAGGGAGGGAGCAAUAUAGAGGCUUAGCUAAAAAUAAAUCAGAACACGCUUAGUAAUUAUUAAUGCUCAGUUAAACCUGUUUCUGGCACCCACUUCAUUGUGGUGAUGAUAGAGUGGUGGCUGUGUGCUCCAUUUGAUGACUGAGCCUUCCAAAGCAAUAUGUUGCAAAGAUCUUGCCACUAUUCUCCAUGCCAAGAAGAUUUUUAUGUACUUGAAUUUAUCUGGGGGCCUUCAGAAAGAUCCUGGAUUCCACCUGCUUUGUAGAGGAUUCAAAAGCCCUGACUGCUGAGUACAGAGACUCUGAAUUGACACUUUUGAGGAUCUUCAUAGCUUCUACUGAGAAGUGACCACACAGCCUGCCUUAUAAAUCUGGUAAGAAGUAGUUUUAAUGAAAAUAAAUUAUUAUUAUUUUCAUAUUAUGUAUGUGUACCUCGUAUCUCAGGUCUAAAUACCCUGAAAGCAACAGAUCCUGUCUGAUCGAAGCUAAGCAGGAUCAGCUCUGGUUAGGACUGGAGUUGAAAAUCUCAUUUCUUUUGCUGGACUGAAAAGAAACAAGUGA